GAAAUGCGAUAAGUAAUGUGAAUUGCAGAAUUCAGUGAAUCAUCGAAUCUUUGAACGCACCUUGCGCUCCUUGGUAUUCCUUGGAGCAUGCCUGUUUGAGUAUCAUGCAAUCUUCAAAGUAAAUCUUUUGUUAACUCAAUUGGUUUCUACUUUGGUAUUGUAGGUCUUUGCAGCUUCACACCUGCUCCUCUUUGUUCAUUAGCUGGAUCUCAGUGUUAUGCUUGGUUCCACUCGGCGUGAUAAGUUAUCUAUCGCUGAGGACACUGUAAAAGGUGGCCAAGGUAAAUGCAGAUGAACCGCUUCUAAUAGUCCAUUGACUUGGACAAUACUUUUAUGAUCUGAUCUCAAAUCAGGUAGGACUACCCGCUGAACUUAAGC
rnacentral:misc_RNA from 1 species